rnacentral:lncRNA from 1 species
UCUUAUAGGAAACAAGUAAGAUUUUUAAAUGCUUUGGUGAUGUGAUCAGUAGACAGUAGUGGGAAAGAAUUUCCCUGAAACUUGACUUGCAAUCAAAAUAAGGAAGGAAGAUCUAAAAGAACAGAGAAUAUUUCAGCUAAUCAGGAUAUGGCACUUUCCGACAUCUGGAUGUCCAAACAAGUGUUUUGAAUUCAACACUAUUAACAUGUGUCACUUUAAUGAAUAUUUUCCUUUGGAGUCGAUUGGGUGGUUACAUUUUUGGCAAUGAUCUCGUGGUCUGUUGCCUACAUUACCUGACCCACGGUCCAUUUUCCUUGUGUUGGCUGUGGGAAAGAAAAAAAAAAGUGGAAAAUAUCUCAGAACCUGGAAAACAGUACUGAGAACGUGACUCAUCUUUUAAUUGAACUACUUCAAAUAGAAGCUCUCUAAGGAUUGUCUUCUCACUGUCUGUGACAUCAUGUGUAACAAAAGAGCAUGUGAUGGCUAAUAUUUAAAUGACAUGAUGUGUUUUUCAUGAUGGAGCUGUGGUUUCCACAAGGAUAACGUCAAGCGUGUGAUGUUAGCAUAUUCUGAACAGUUUGGUGAUCUAUCCCAGACCUUAGCCAAUUGCUGCUCCUCCCGUUUGAAGGAAACUUCGGCUGUACCUGUUCUUUCAUCUCCUGUGUGGAAAAAUGUCUAUCGACUUGAAGCCCUAGGAGUCUUAAUUUUCAAGGAUUUUAGUUGUAAGCCGUUCAAGGCAUGAGCUAAGGUUUCAGGCAAAGGUAACCUUAGUAGUUGAGCCUGAUUUCUGCUCCCGCCUCCACCCUCUAGGGCGCCCUGGGUUGCUCGCUGUGAGGGGGUCCCCUCCUUAGCUAAGAUGUAAACUUACGUUCCGUGGUAUCUGAUAAAGGUUGCUGGAGACUGACACUUAAAGGAGAAAAAAAAAAAAAAGAAAGAAAGAAAAGGAGAAACUGAAUCCAAAGGCUUACAAAAGGAUUAGAAAAGUACACUCCAGAUGGAAAAUUUUAUGGGAGCUGGAGAAAAUGUAUAAGUGAAAUAUCAGUAUCAUAAAAUAACAGGAAAUAGUGUAAUCUACCUGAUGGAGAAAAUUGUCACUUUAAAAAAACUAUCCUAAUUUCCUUCAAAAUUGUUCUUGUUUUUGAGCCAAUAAACCGCAGUUCAGCUGACCACGGGGCCUUUCUUCUGCCAAAUUCAUAUUUGCCAACAGAACCUCUGCGUGUUUACAAUUGAAACUUUUCCAUUCUAUUUUUUUUCUCUAAUUAAAAUAAAGCCACCCAGGGGCGGACAGAAAUCAUGCAAUAAAGGAAGAAAAUUGCUAAUGAACUGGGUGAAUUAUGAUGCAGAAAUGGAGAGAAAAAUCAGAGUGAGUGUUAGAGCAAUGGACUCAAAGCAAAGUUGGGGUCAACCAGAAAAAAUGUAUGAGGAGGAAAUCCUGUGUUUUCCUUUUAUAAGUAAAAAUAAUAAUAUAAUUUGUCUUAAGUAUGUGCAUGGUACAAGAUAAAUCAGCAGAUGAAUGCCUAAGGUAAUUAUUCUGGGGAAAUAUGAUAUUGAUGUAAUUUUUGACUUGGUUCCCCCGCCCCCAAACCUCUAGGAUGGAUUACAUGACUUAGUAUAUGCUAUUGCUCAGCAAAGAGGAAAUCUUUGUUCUGUUGUUUAAACAGGGCAUUAUCAGGAUAAAUUUCCUGUUAUCUCUGCAUAUUAUUUUGAUUGAGAUAAUUAUGGCAUUUCCAAAGGUAAUAGUUUGAACUGGUUUCAUAACCCAGGAUCCACAUUCACACACACAUGCACACACACACACAUGCAUGUGUGCCCACAGGUGCACUCGUGCACGCCCACACGCGUACACACACACCACCUAUUCAACAGCAUGAAGGUUGGCCAGAUAUUGUGCUAGGCACAGUGGAAAAUAAGAAGACAAACUAGAGCUUGAAGAUCUAAGUGCAAAUGAAAAUGUGCUUCCAGGAAGAAAGGGAUAAAUGUCACAAGAGAUGGGUGGAUAAAACAUUAUGGAAGUUUAAAGGAUGGAGGAUAAUUUAGGGAUGGAAUGGAGUCCAGGACACCCUUCCUAGCAGGGUAGCAUUUGCAAUGAUUUUUUUAAGGUUUGCUCGGAUUCAGGCAUGAUCCUGACUAGGUUCGUGGGAGUCUUAAACAGAGCUCCGCACAGUUAUUUGUUAAUUUACUCAUUUGACAGACGUUUAUUGCGCUGCAGAUGUUCUAGGUUUUGAGGAUAGAGCAGUGACCCAAACAGUCAAAUAUCCCCCAUGGAGCUGUUAUUCUGGCAGGAGGGUGGUGGUGGCAGUGGUUUUUGAACAUUUUAUUUUCUUUGAACAUUUGUUGCCUUUGAACUACUGGUAUUUGCUGCAAGUUGAGAAAACUUGUUUUCCUAACUAAUCAGUUUGUGCCUAUUGGAAGAUUUUAGACAGGUGGCAGGAAAGACAUUGGCGCAAAGGUUACACAGGCGUACAUAAUACUUCAAACACAAAUUAUAGACUUGUUUUGCAUUUCCUAAAGAAGUCAUUUGAAACUGCAUAUAGAUUAUGCACAGUUUGGCAAGAAGUGGGAGAGAAAAGCAGGUAAUAGUCGUUCAGAGAACUUUGCAACUACCAGAGGUAAAGGAUAAGGAUAAAAGGAAUAGGAAAGAAGUGGCCUACAUCGUUUAUAGGGAAGGAUGUAGAGCAAGAGGAAUAUGAAAUGCACAAAAUUAGUUCAGGAAGCAGAGAUUUAGAUUUGGAAGAAAAAUGUUCCUCGUGGCCACUUUAUGAUGAAUGUAUAAGAAUUCGUCUCUUUCUACUUUGAAAAUAAUGUUCAUGUUCUUUGUUUUACACGACCCUUGAAUCAACCCAGGAGGAAGAUCAACAAUGGAAUAAAAGACAGCUGGAAACAGCUCCUAUGUAAUACCCAAAGCUAGGACUUCCCCACGAAUGUACCACAAACAGACUAAUUCCACCUACUGGAAAAUGGGAAAAUGGAUAAACAUAUCAUUCGAGGGUCUAUCAUCACUAGAACACAGCUGAUCGGUAUUUAAAUAAUUGCGUUUUUAAUGUACAGAACAAACAAGAUUUCUUUUUUUAAAUUGAAAUGUAUUGACAUAUAACCUUGAGUAAAUUUAAGGUACACAACAUGUUAAUUUGAUACAUUUAUAUAUUGUAUUAUGAUUGUCAUUGUAGCAAUAAUUAGCACCUCUGUCCGAUUUCAUAAUUAUCCUUUCCUUUAAAAGUCGUUGGAAUAAUUAAGUUCUAGUCUCUAAGCAAGUUUCAUGAUUAUAAUACCAUAUUGUUAUCCGUAUUUACUAUAUUUUGCACUAUAUCUCUAGGGUUUAUUUACUGCUUGUAAGUUUGUCCUCUUAAACAACAUCUGUCUUAUUUCCCCAUCCUCUAUCCCCUACUAACCACCCUUUUAUUGUCUGUUUUUAUAAGUGUGGUUUCUUAAAAUUCCACAUAUAAGUGAUAUCAUCAAGUGCUUGUCUUUAUGCAACUUAUUUCACUUAGCAGAGUGUGCCCAAGGUCCAUUCAUGUUGUUUCAAGGAGCAGGAUGUACUCCUUUCUCAUGUCUGAAUAAUAUUCAAGUGUGUUCACUCACUUCAUGGGGGAGAAAUUUCUAGUAAGUUUGCCAGGAGAAUCACACCUGAGAGUAGUCCAUGGAGAAGAUGACGCAGAGAGGAAAUCUGUGCUGAGUUCCCUCUGGUCUCUUGUCUCCCAUUAGUCAAGAGUCAACCUCUGGGAGUUAAUUUCCCUGAAGUUCUAGGUUGUGAUUUCCGCCUCUUUACAACUCCUCAGGAAGCCAGACCCCAUGCUCCAUAACAUUCCAACCAAGUUGAGAAGGGAAGAGGCAGCUUGGCACACUGACUAAGAAAGGAGGGGCACCUGGGUAGCUCAGUGGUUGAGCGUCUGCCUUUGGCUCGGGUUGUGAUCCAGGGAUCCUGGGGUCAAGUCUCACAUCAAGCUCCCUGCAUGGAGCCUGCUUCUCCCUCUGCCUAUGUCUGUGUCUCUGACUCUCUCUCUCUGUUUCUCAUGAAUAAAUAAAUAAAAUCUUUUAAAAAAUGGAGACAGUAGAGAAGCUCUGAGAAAUUAUAUAAAUUUUGCAUUCAAUACACCACCCAAAGGUUGGACAACAAAUUUCCAUCUCCAUGCAUAUGUCCCUCCUGUUUGAUCUCCUGGCUCUCACGGUACCCCUCACUCUACUAGUAAUUAGGUCAUGCCAGUGAAGCACUUUACCUAUACUUUUGCCAUUAGGUGAAUUAUUUAUAUAUGUUCUUGUUUCCCCUAAAUAGAUCUUCAUGAGCUUGACAGGAAUGAAGUUUCAUUUUUUUCAUUCUCUUUAGCACUUAGCAGAAGUCCUUGACACACAGCUUUCCUUCGAAAAUACCAAGAAAGAAGGGUAGAUGGGGGGAAAAAAAAGAAAGCAGAGUCAGAUUGAGUGACUGAAAAUAUUACUAUUUCACUUACCUUUCUUUCUGCUGAAUGUGUAACAAUAUCAACUUUGUUGGUAGUAACUGGGUACUUUAUAAACCGGGGUUCCCAGUGGGGUGGGC